AAAAAACGCACAAACCACCAAAGCCAAAUCACAUGUCAUUGGACGUCUCCCAGCGCAGGGGCACAGAGGACUCAGACCUGUCCCCAGUCUGGAGGGAGCCUGGCAACUGAACAGACCCUGAUGACGCUUCCAGUGAACGCUCAGAGCCGGAUGUGGGGCUGCUGAGCUGAGGGUGUUGCGUUUUACAGAGCGUGGUGGGCACAGGUCCAAGCUGCCCAUCAUGCCUGCAGGUGGCAGAACAGCUCCAGCACACCCAUCCCUCGCCACAGCCCCCGGUGCGGCAGCGUAGCGUGGGGACAGAUGGACGGGCCGUGGUGGGAUGAGCCCUGCCCUGCACCUGCUGCUGUCUCUGGCCAGCUGCUCCCUCCUCUGGGGACCUCGAGCUGGAUCAAGGCAGAUGCCUGCAGGGGGAACAGCACUGGCUCCUGGGAGUGUGAGUUGUAUUUUGACAGGAUCCACGAUAUCUACUGGGCGCGGGUGAGAGCGGUGGCCGGAGGAGAGCAGUCUGAGUGGGCCAGUUCCAGCGAGCUGCAGCUGUACAGAGACACAAUUGUGGGGCCCCCCAAGUUGUCCUGGCUGCUCCAGGAUCAAAUCCUCCACGUAAACAUUGCCACGCCACUCACUCCCUACCAGAGAAGAACUGGUUCCUACAAGCCAGUGGACCGAGUGCUGCUGAAACUGUGGUACUGGCUGCACCUGUACGAGGGGGACCUGCUUGUGCAGCAGGUGUGUGGCAGCUGGGCAGGGCUUGGAGCGUGUGGGGCUUGCAUGAGAUUUCCUGGGGCAGCAAAGCUGCUGUCUUGGGUUGCCUCAGUGUGGGGGUGCCUGUACCCCAGCCCUGCCCACACCUGGCUGCUCCCCCAGUCUGGGGCUCGCACCCCAGCAAGGCAGGAGACCCCUUUCCUCCCUCAGUCUGCAUGGGUAAGGAGAACCUGUGACGGGUUCUGUUCAGAUGAAAGGUGAUGCCAUGGUGGUUCCGGAAGGCGCUCUGGGACCUGAACACCUUCUGGGGCGAAGAGCCAAGCACUGGAGGUGCCAGGGAACAGGGGCUGUGGAGCAAGUGGGACACUGAGGCUGCGCUGGGCAGUGGAGCCAUGCACAGCCACUGUGGUCACCUGUCCCAUCGACUUCCAGGUGCCCUGCAAACGGAGCAGCGAGGACGUGCCGUGCACCUUCGGGCCCCUGAAGCCCAGCACACGGUACUGUGUCCGGACGGCAGCCGCUGGCAUGGCCAGGGAGAGGAGCCGGGAGGCCGAGCAGUGCCUGGUGACUCCGGCAGGGCCCCCAGGUGGGAGGAGCACUCUCGCCAGCUCAGCCGGCGCGGUUGCAUCUCGGGUCCUGCAGUCUCGCGUGUGGGUCCCUCACCCCCAGCCAUUGUGAUCAGGGUUGUGACCUAGCACUGCCCUGUGGGAACCUCUCAGGGUGAUGCUGUCUCACCCUCUGCCUUGGGCUUGCCUCCUGGAACAUCCCAGCCUGCCACGGGGGCUCCAGGGGAAACACUGGCACAGGGUGGGCUGGGAGGGAUGUGCUGGUGUCUUUCCACCUGUCGGUCUGCUGUGACCUCCCAACAGGCUUUCCCUGGGUCCCUGCCGUGCUGAGUGCCUUCUUUGUGCUGCUGCUGCUGAGUGCGGCCGGGUUCUGCUUCUUCCAGCUGCACA
rnacentral:lncRNA from 1 species